AGCUCCAAUAGCGUAUAUUAAAGUUGUUGCAGUUAAAAAGCUCGUAGUUGGAUUUCUGGGAGGGUGCCAAUGUCCGCCGACGUGCGUGCGCAGCGGCGCCCUUCCAUCCUUCUGUUAACGCCUCUUGGCAUUCAUUUGCUGGUGGCGGGCUCAGAUAUUUUACCUUGAGAAAAUUAGAGUGUUUCAGGCAGGCUAGGCCGGAAUACAUUAGCAUGGAAUAAUGGAAUAGGACUAAGGUCUCUUUGUUGGUUUGAGGGACUGUAGUAAUGAUUAAUAGGGAUAGUUGGGGGCAUUAGUAUUUAAUUGUCAGAGGUGAAAUUCUCGGAUUUGUUAAAGACUAACUUAUGCGAAAGCAUUUGCCAAGGAUGUUUUCAUUA
rnacentral:rRNA from 1 species